UUUUUUUCAGAGGUUAGGAACGGUGCUACUGAUACCCCCCCCCCCUCCUCUCUCUCUCUCUCUUUCUCUAUCUCUCUCUCUCUCUUUCUCUCUCUUUCUCUCUCUCUCUCUCGCUUGAUCUCUCUCUCUUUCUCUCUCUCUCACUCGCUUGAUCUCACUCAUCCCCCUCACUAUCUCCUAUCUAUCUCCUGAUCUUUCUCCUCCUCUUCCUCUUCCACCUUCCCCUCCUUUCGUCUCUUCCUCCUCCUCCUCCUCCUCCUCCUCCUCCUCCCCUGCUCCUCCUCCCUCCUUCCCUCCUCCUGGUCGCAUGCCACCUGUCCUCAUCAAUCACCAAUCACCGGUUGAUACAUCAUCCAACAAGAGACACCGCCAGUUUGAAGGAGGAGAGACCUCUGCUCGGCAAUGGCUGUUAACAACACUAGCAGCAAUUAAAGGAUGUGAUGGAGCUUCGCCUCUCUUCGUUAAUUAUGCUGUAGCCAUGAAGGAAGCUAUUGGAGAAAAGAUGAAGAAGAAGAAUGGAAGGAACAUAAAAUGAAAACAGAAUAGGAAAAAUAAUACCAAAAGAAGUGAAAUAGAAAAGGAAAAAAAACAAGAAAAUUAAGAAUAACUUAAUAAAAACGAUAAAUCAUGUGUCAGAAAAAAAUUGGUGUUUUUUUUCAACAAGUUUAUAUCUAUGAUUCUAUGAUGAAAGAUAAUAUUUCAGGAAAAUGUUUAAAAAAUGGAAGAAAUAAAUGAAUAAAAAAAAAUAAAUUAAGUAAAAAAAAAAAAGUUGAUGAUGAAGACGCAGAAACCAAGAAAAUAUUAUACAGCUCUGAUAUUAGGAAUACAAAGAACAAGAAGGUGAGUCACCCAUUAUAUAUUUUCC